UUUAAAGGGGAAUAACUUUUUCAGAAUAUUUCAAGGAUCCAUCGUACGGGACAGCACUGCAGUACAUGUAAUGUAGACUGUCGGUAAAGCUGUUGUUUGUUUAUUUCUUUCUAUUUACUCCUUAACCUUUAAGGCCAACCAAAAGCUAAUAAUCACAUGAACAUAGUUUUAGGCCUUUACCGCGUUAACUUGUUUUUAAAACAUUAUGUGCUAGCUUUUUUACAUUUGUUGUUCAGUCAAAUUGUUUUACUGUGUUCCGUUUGGACCAUCAUUUUUUAUUACUUAGCCACAUAUCUCGAAAGCCGAAAUCACGACACUACGAUGAGAUGAUAAUAACAGUCGAAUCACUACUUUGAAAACUCAAAACUACGAUAGUGAAAGUCGAUAACUUUUCUCGUUUUGACUAUCGUGGUUUCAUGUUUCCAUCAUCGUGCUUUCGACUUUCGUUAUCGAAGUUUCGAUUUUCAACAUCUUAAUUUCGAUUUUCAAGUCGAAACAACGAUGUUGAAAUUCGAAACUACAAGGAUGAAAGUUGAAAGUUCGAUUGUGAAAGUUGAAACCACGCUGAUGAAAACACUUAAGAUGGUUGCUAGUGUUCUGGCAGACUGCAAAUAGUUGUAUAUCUUCUCAGAUUCUUCAAAAACAGAAUCAUAUAAAUACAACACUUAUAUCAAAUUCCUGUUCUUGAUUCUGCUAUCAGUAGGAAAGUAGAAACUGAUUAACAUAAUUAUGUUAAAAAUCUUAAUACUUAAUACUUUUUCUUUUCUCAUCGGUUGUAUUAAUUAUAUGUGAAUAUUAUUGAAUUUAUUGUAGUUAUCUGAUUUCCCGUAUAGAUUAAAUAACAUAUAUGCCUAAACACCAGAGAAAGAUAUCAUUUCUGGGAUAUCUAGAUGUCUUCAUAUAGUUCACUCAUUAAUGAUAUCAUGACUUAACUUGAUAUUUCAUGUUCAUUUUUUGAUAUCACAAAUGAUUUGUAUGUCUAUAUCGUAACAUGCAAUUAAAGAUGUCCUUGAAAUGGAAUAUUAAAGCUAUUUACAUUCUGAUAUUUUAAACCUGUUUUCUGUGUGCUGAUAGCUUUGAUUAUUUAGUUCUUCAUGUAAAAGAAUGAAGUUUAGAUAGCAUAAGAAAAAAAAAAAACAUUGAGAAAACUAUAUUAUAGAAUAUAUCAACUAAUAUUUCGCAAAUUGUUAAUUGAUAUCUAAAUUGACUUCACUUUCUAUGCGUCUAUGUAUGUAAGAAAACACAUUUUUUAAGUGAAAAAGGUAUUAAAAUAUACUAACUGAAAAACAUCAAAACAACAUACAUUUUUACAAUACGUGUUCCAGCUGGUUAAUGAUAAUAUGGCCGAAAUCGUCCUAAAAUGUUGACCUAGUUGCCACACUGUAAACAUGAAGUCAUUGGGCCAACGACGGAAACCCGUCAAAGGAUAAUCGUGGUUGGGCCACUGUUGGCCCAACAAUGAUUAAUAAGUAUUUAAAUACAGCUGUUGGGCCAACGUUGAACCAACUUUGAAUUUCAGUCACAGAUAUAUUUACAUUGGGCCAAUAUUGAUUUUCAGAUAAUUAUAUAUUUUACAGGAGACUGUUUUUAUCACAAGCCCCUACAGGUAUACACGUUAUGUGUGUGUGUAACAUGCAAUAUUUAAUUAAUAAUUAAAUACUUUUCUGCACCAAUUCGUAAUCAGUUAAAUUUGGGCUAAUUAAACCUUAAACUUAUCUACAGCCGUAAUGACAUUUUGAACUAUUUCAAAUCUACUACCUUGAAAAAAAAUUGUGAAAAAAAUUGAAAACAAAAAAAAACAAACUCACUACUAACUCUAUAACAAAUAUCUAAUUUUAUACAGUCAUAAAAUGUUUACAAAAUCUGUUGAGUAUUCCAGAACAUGAACUCUCGUUAACCCGGGUUAUGUAAGAAAUCCCAGAAAAUGUGGUUAAUUUUACUCUCUAGGCCAGAUUUCUAGCUGCAUAUAUGUGAAGUAAAGGAAACUAUUAUACAUGUGAUAGAUCUAGAGUUAACAAAAACCCGGUCUACCAGCUAUAAACUGGUGCUGUUCAAGAGAGUAAUAAUGGAGUGCCUAGCACUGUGGUGCACAAGAAAAAACAAGAAGAAAAAAAGAAAGCAGCAACGUCAGUGAGAAAAAAACAAUCAAACAGAACUUGGAUAUAUAAUGAAUUAAUAUACAGACAUUAAAUUACUUUAGUAGGAUUUAAUCAGUGACUGAAAAAAAGAAAAAAUAUUUAGAUUUAUAAAAGGCUGGGAUCAAUAUUUGACAUGUUGUAGUGAUGAAAUAUUCUCAUAUAUUUCUUCAGGAAAAUUGCAAACAAACUUUAAAUAAAUGUUAGAUUUCUUUUUGUUAAACUUUAACAAAAUCACAACUAUUUGAAAAUAAAAUACGUAAUAAAUAAUGCUAGUUUUGGUCUUUUUCAGUUUCGUAAUCGUUGGGAUAGCGUUGACCCAACGCUGGACCAACCAUGAUAGACGAAAAAAUGCUGUUGGCCCAAUGGAGGGCCAACGAUAAGUGCAGGAUACAAGUUGUUGGCCCAAUGGAGGGCCAACGAUAAGUGUAGGAUUCCAGUCGUUGGACCAACGAUGUACCAACCGUUGGGCCAACGUUGCGCCAGUUAGCAAAAUGGCAGUGGGCCAACGUUUGAAAUCUUCGUUGGGCCAACGAAGAGUCUGCCGUUGGCCCAACGUUGGGCCAACGCAUGUCUGCUAUCUGGGCAGUAUAUGACACGAGUUUUCAAGUGGUCCUGUUAGUGUAACACAUAUAGUAUAUACGUUUUAAACUAUUAACAGAAUGAACACAUCUGUGCUUACUGUGCAUGAUAAGAUAUUGUGGAUUCUAUUUUGCAAUUCAAUUAUAUAAACGUCUUAGGAUUCUAAUAGCGUCAAUUUGUCAUUCUUCAGAAUUAAUAAUUGCUCCUCGGAACUCAGUUUAAAAAAAACAAACAAAUUUAUUGAUACAGGGGAGAAUCAAUAAAGAAUUAUCAACAUUCAAACACGCAAGGCAAUUAUUUCGGAAAAGACAAUUAGUCUAUACGGACAUUUGACAUAGGGAUAGGACACCAGCACUUGAGAUGCAUUGUGUUUAAAAGCCGUCUUCUUAGAAUACCACACUUGUCUUCCUUGUUUUACUAUUUGUCAUAGUUAAAGACAAUUAGUCCAUACGGACUUUUGAAAUAGGGACAGGACACCAGCACUUGAGAUGCAUUGUGUUUAAACGCCGUUACUUCCAGU